AUCUAAACCCGAUGGCACGAAUGCCCCCGAUUAAGCACUGCUUUUUAUUAUGCUAUAGUGUGCUUGCUUGUUUCAGAGGUUUUCAUCGGGGCAGCAGGUACAGCGGGACGAACA
rnacentral:sRNA from 1 species